rnacentral:rRNA from 1 species
AUAUUGGACAAUGGGGGCAACCCUGAUCCAGCCAUGCCGCGUGUGUGAAGAAGGUCUUCGGAUUGUAAAGCACUUUAAGUUGGGAGGAAGGGCUUUAGGUUAAUACCCUGAAGUUUUGACGUUACCAACAGAAUAAGCACCGGCCAACUCUGCGCCAGACGCCGCGGUAAUACAGAGGGUACAAGCGUUAAUCGGAAGUACUGGGCGUAAACCGCGCGUAGGUGGUUCAGUAAGAUGGGUGUGAAAUCCACGGGCUUAACCUGGGACAUGCUUUCAUAACUGCUGAGCUAGAGUACGGUAGAGGGUAGUGGAAUUUCCUGUGUAGCGGUGAAAUGCGUAGAUAUAGGAAGGAACACCAGUGGCGAAGGCGACUACCUGGACUGAUACUGACACUGAGGUGCGAAAGCGUGGGGAGCAAAC